rnacentral:rRNA from 1 species
UACGGAGGGGGCAAGCGUUAUUCGGAAUCAUUGGGCGUAAAGGGCGCGUAGGCGGCUGGGCAAGUCGAAGGUGAAAUCCCCCGGCUCAACUGGGGAACUGCCUUCGAAACUGCCAGGCUAGAGUCCGGGAGAGGGUAGUGGAAUUCCCAGUGUAGCGGUGAAAUGCGUAGAUACUGGGAGGAACACCAGUGGCGAAGGCGGCUACCUGGACCGGAACUGACGCUGAGGCGCGAAAGCGUGGGGAGCAAACAGGAUUAGAAACCCCAGUAGUCC